UGAGGUUAACAUAUCAGAGUACAGAAAGAUCUUAUAAUAUUUUCUUACUGCUAAGACCAUUCACCAUGUUCACUGUUAUAUUCACGUGUCUUUGGCUUUCACUGGGUGACUCCAUGGCAGAUUCAGUAGGGCCACGUUUCACUCAUAAAGUUGUAGAUGAAGAUGAUGAUGUUACUCUGUCCUGCAGCUACAAAACAACCAUUCGUACAGGAAACUACCUGCACUGGUACAGGCAGUAUCCAAAAUCUACACCAGAGUUUCUUCUUUAUAUUUCUGAUGGUGGAGCAUUAAGUUCCAACAUUCCCACAAGAAUGACUGCUAAAGUUAAUGGAGAUAAUAAACAAGUGGAUCUGAUCAUCUCCUCUGCUGCUGUAUCAGACUCUGCACUAUACUACUGUGCACUGGUGCCCACAGUGACAGGAAAUCCAACUGCACUGUUCAAAAACUUUGACACAGUUUUGAUAUAUGGGAAGCAGUUCUUUGAGACAUUUACAUGCCAAUUCUGGGGAAUUUUGUCUUGAGUUUAUAAAUUGUGAGACACACUGGAUUAUUAGGAGACAGCUCAUUCAUUUAUUCAUCUUCAGUAACCACUUUAUCCUCGUCAGAGAUCCAGGGAUUUUCCUGAGAACUCUGGGAGUGAAGGAGGAAUGUGAGAAAACCAAAAAAGUGAGCAUACAAAACAUUGCACAGACAGUAACCUGAGAUCACUCUUACAUGAAAGUAGAAAUUGAGCCAGAAAAUCCUAAUUUGAUCCUAAUCCUAAAUUGUCUCAAUUUCAUGCAGAGACAGAGGAGAGCUAACCCUUGCCUUGACCAGGAUAAAGAGGUGACUGAAGAUGAACAAAUAAUUAAUUUGAAUAAAAUAUAAAUUCUGUUGUUAGGUUUUUAAAGACAGGUUGUUUUUUUCUUUUCUUCAAAACUGCUAUACUCUUUUCUAUAAGUCAAAAACUUUAUUGGUCUUUUUGUGAUUUAUGACCUAUAGUCCUCUCAGAAACUACUUGAAUGGCAAGGCCAAUUAAGUUUUGCUGAAGACAUUUUGGUUUGAGAACAAAAGAUGAAUAUUAGAAGAGAGUUUUGAAUUUCUGGUAUUUAUAUGUAGAUAUGAGAUAUGAUAUGAGAGUUGUGAAGAAAAACACCUAAAUCAAAGUCUGUGUCAUCACCAACAACCUCCACAGGGCAGGGGUGAAGGUAUCACAAUCCACCAUUCAAUGACUUUUACAGCAGAAAUAAAGAGGUCAUACCAUAAGAUGCAAACCAGUCAUUGUUUUGUUCCUACUUUUUAGUGAACAUCUCUCGAGCUCACUGUCUCUUAUUUUGCAUCUAGUUCCCCCUGUCUACACAAUGUAUAACAACAGA